GCAGUGAAAAAGAAUACCCACAGACAAGGCACGGGUGGUGGGUCACCAAAGGCUGACCUUACCCCAGCAGAGGACAUGGCCUUGGAGCUAAAUAAAGGCAGGCCCGUCUUAGAGGGGAUCCCUGGGGGGAAAGAGACGAGCAUAGGUUCCUCCCAAGAUGCCACCCGCUUCAUUCAAGUGUCUGGCAGCACUGUGUUCCUGUUAGAGCCACCAGCACAAGCACCAGACGAUGCUGGUCCAGGUGAAGGCCCCAGUGCAGCAGCAACAGCACAUGAUGGAGACGAUGAGGAGGAGACCAUCUCUCUGGAUUCCAGAAGGCAUGAGGACCCAGAUGCUAUACAGUGGGAAAACCAGCCUGGCAACAUAGUGCGUAUUAAUAAAAGGACACCACAUCCUGCCAAAUUCCAGCUGCGCUAAUUGUAUUGUGUUCACAGAGCUCACAAGCUAUCAGAAAGUUGUAUGGCAACCACCUCCGGCGCCAAAUAGAACUGGCAGACAUAGACAUUCAGUACAAGAAGAAAAAGAUGGAAAAUCUUGCACUGGAGUCUGAAAUAAAAAAGAGGACAAUUAGGAAACUGGACCUUGAAAUAAAAAAACUUGAGAGGGAGCUCCAAGAAGAUGACACAGC
rnacentral:lncRNA from 1 species